rnacentral:misc_RNA from 1 species
GGGCUUAAUUUCAAGAACCUGAAUAUAACAAUGUACAACAAUAAAAUAAAUAUGUAAUAUGAGCAAAGAAUACUAAGCCAAUGAAGAGAACUAUCUGUUAUUAAUCACUGUCAUGAGAUUUGAACAUAUAUGUUUUGCCCAGGGUCUGUAAUCAAGUACAAGUAUACAAUCACCUUAAGAUUGAAACAAUUAUAAAGGAAAAUGAACUCAAGGAGAUGGACUCAAGGAGAUGGCUAAAAACAAUCACCAUUCUAGCUUGUUAGCCAAAU